GUUCACAAAAACCACUCUACAACCAUUCUCGACCAACUUCUGUGACAGGAUCAUCAAAGGAUUCACAUGUCCUUGUGCUGGAUAAGGUGGUGCCCCUAUGUUCCCGGAAUUGAGAGCUUUCAAUCCAUCCGAUUAGUUUCGCGUCUCUCCACUGAUAAGGUACUGUCGAAAUUACCUCUGUGCAAAGGUACUGUUAGGGCAUUUUCUAGGAACUGUGCUGUAAGAACCAAAAAGUAAGGGGAGCUAGUUAUGUUUCUUUGAAUUGUUUAUAUGCUCUACAUAUAUGGUGAAUUUU